UUGUCUUUGGAUGUGAGUAGUGAUACUAAUAUUACAGUAGAACCUACACAAAGAUCUUCUAAUGCCUCUACUGCAGCUAAUGUUUAGUCUGUUAGGUGGGAUUGAUGUUGAAGCACUCCAGAUUGGACGAAAUCAGGAUAAUUUUGAGUCAUGUAACUAAAUAUUUAACUUUGGGGAUGUUUGGAUACGAAUUUAAGACUUUUUGUGAUAUUUCUAAAUAUGUUAAUUGUGGGAUGUUUGGAUAAGAAUUUGGGACUUUUUAUGAUUCUAAAUAUUUUAAUUAUGAGAUGCUUGGACAAGGAUUUAG